rnacentral:rRNA from 1 species
CCUACGGGAGGCAGCAGUGAGGAAUAUUGGACAAUGGGCGCAAGCCUGAUCCAGCCAUGCCGCGUGCAGGAAGACGGUCCUAUGGAUUGUAAACUGCUUUUAUACAGGAAGAAACACCUCUACGUGUAGAGACUUGACGGUACUGUAUGAAUAAGCAUCGGCUAACUCCGUGCCAGCAGCCGCGGUAAUACGGAGGAUGCAAGCGUUAUCCGGAAUCAUUGGGUUUAAAGGGUCCGUAGGCGGUUUAAUAAGUCAGUGGUGAAAGCCCAUCGCUCAACGAUGGAACGGCCAUUGAUACUGUUAAACUUGAAUUAUUAGGAAGUAACUAGAAUAUGUAGUGUAGCGGUGAAAUGCUUAGAGAUUACAUGGAAUACCAAUUGCGAAGGCAGGUUACUACUAAUAUAUUGACGCUGAUGGACGAAAGCGUGGGGAGCGAACAGGAUUAGAUACCCUGGUAGUCCACGCCGUAAACGAUGGAUACUAGCUGUUCGGAGCAAUCUGAGUGGCUAAGCGAAAGUGAUAAGUAUCCCACCUGGGGAGUACGUUCGCAAGAAUGAAACUUAAGGAAUUGACGG